UACGUAGGGGGCUAGCGUUGUUCGGAAUUACUGGGCGUAAAGCGCGCGUAGGCGGACCUGCAAGUCGGGGGUGAAAGCCCGAGGCUCAACCUCGGAACUGCCUUCGAUACUGCGGGUCUCGAGUCCGGGAGAGGUGAGUGGAAUUCCUAGUGUAGAGGUGAAAUUCGUAGAUAUUAGGAAGAACACCAGUGGCGAAGGCGGCUCACUGGCGCGGUACUGACGCUGAGGCGCGAAAGCGUGGGGAGCAAACAGG
rnacentral:rRNA from 1 species